rnacentral:rRNA from 1 species
UUAGCUAGUUGGUGAGGUAACGGCUCACCAAGGCGACGAUGCGUAGCCGACCUGAGAGGGUGAUCGGCCACACUGGGACUGAGACACGGCCCAGACUCCUACGGGAGGCAGCAGUAGGGAAUCUUCCGCAAUGGACGAAAGUCUGACGGAGCAACGCCGCGUGAGUGAUGAAGGUUUUCGGAUCGUAAAGCUCUGUUGUUAGGGAAGAACAAGUGCGAGAGUAACUGCUCGCACCUUGACGGUACCUAACCAGAAAGCCACGGCUAACUACGUG